GGAUAAGGGAGCACGUACAGCCUGUCUGGUGCUGAGACAUGGCUUGUGGAUGUGUCCACCGGCUGUCUGCAGACUGAUGUCAUGUUAGCUGAAAGAGCUGGAUCUCAGACUAAGUUACUUGGGUCCACUGAAUUAAAGCACCGAUGCCCACGUGUGGUAGAGGUCAAUCAGGGCUCUGCUCACGGGCUGGGACAGGGAAGAGAAAGCCUAAUCUAGCCAAAAUACCGACUGCUCACAGUAUCAGAUAUUCUUUGGUAGCCUUCAAGGCUAACCCUAGUGCUGCUGAAGAUAAGCAGUAAGGAUGAACUUCAUGAUAGACUGGACUUAAAUGCGCAGCUACUGAGAUUUUCCUCAUGAGAGUUAAGAGUUCACUCACCUUGGUAGUGCUGCGUCCUGCUAGAGUUCUCCCUGAGAGUGUCUUCCACAGAAGAGUGCUUCUGGUCAUCAGAAAUGAGCAUAUCCAGGUCAUAAAAUACACUGUGAGGUGAAUUGUGAUGUACUGCAGCUGUUACAGCCUUCAACUGCUUAAAUUUGUCAUGGAUAAAAUAAUUCUCCUGGAUUUUGGAAUAUAUAUUUACAUGAACAUAAUGGAAUACGUAUGUUUCAAAUGCAUUAUUAUAUUUGGUAAGUAUUUCAUGUAUAUUUCUUAUAAUUAAGUAUUUAUAUUAAUGAAUCAGUGAGUAUUCUUCAACAGAAACAUCUCAAAACACGCGAGGAAAGCCAGACUUUACUAUGUUGCCAUUAUCUUUGCUGUGAUGGAAAAAAUUCCCAACAGUUCCAACUGAUAAAAAUGAAAGCCUUGGUUGGAUUUCAGAGGGGGAAGACAACACGAUUUUCAAAAACAUUUUAUUAAAAAAAACCCCACUCUUAUGUUUUAAAAUGAUUAAUUUUUUCAGUUGCCCAGAAGUGUUGGGGACAAAGUCUGGACAUUUUGAUAGAAUGUCGAUGACAACUUCUGUGGGAAGAAAAAGCACUCGAAGUUCCUCACGCAUAUAAAUAUGCACGCAUAAAAUAUAUAUAAUUUAAUUCAGACAGUGGUGGUAGAGGUUAUUCAGAGAUAGCGUGGACCAUUAAUCAUUAGAGGCUUUCAAGUAUCAGGUGGAGCUAUGGCCAACUCACUAGCUUGAGUAGAAUACGGAUCCUACUGAUUUCAGCAGGGGUACAUGGCUAAAAGUCAGCCCUUAACAGGAGUGGUAUUUUUCAGGGGUCUCUGGUGAGUCUGAUGAGCUUGGAGGCAGAGGUAAGUCGUCACCUCCACUGGGAUCUGUCAAAACAAACUCAGCAAUUCAGAUCCAGGUUUUGUGAGUGGCAUUGAAAUCCCAGAUUCUUUUACAAAUGAAGAAAGGCUUUAUGCAAUUCUAUUUGAAUUUUCUUUCACCUUAUAUCACGGGCACAAUAAUCGUUUGUGAAAUUGUGAAGCAGAAGAAUGACAGGUGACUACACAUAAUGGCAACUUUCAUGACAGAAGACGUGAGGUACAAGGAGGAAAUCAAAAACAUAUGUCAAAGAGAGGGCUACUUUACAAGUACUGGAAGAAUCUGGCUCUGACUUUCAUACAACUUAGGAAAAAUUGCCCAGGUUGGAAAAGGCUCCCCGUGUGCUCAGCAGAAUACACAGAAUACAGUGCUGGUGCACAAAGACACUGAAAACAAAGCAACAAAAAGGUAAGACAAAUGUGGGAACACGUAGUACGGGAGAGAGAAAUUGUUAUGAAAACAAGGUAUGGCCUGUAGGCUAAUAGAAAUUAAUAUAAUUAGGAGCAUAUGAAAUGUUCAUAAAAUUAGGACAGGGAGAGCCUUUUUAAAAUUUGUUUUUAAGUGAAUUAGUUAAGAAUAAAAACCUUUUCUUUUUUUUUCCUGAUGAGCAACAGUGAGCACAGAACUUGAGGUGUUCUCUAGAAGUGGGACUUCUGAAUUGCUUUGGGCUGCUUUUUCAUGUCAGUGCAAACUUAACAGGUGAGGAACUUCCAUUCAGCCCCAGUCUGAAGCAGAACAGGAAUUAACUUCUUACCACAACAAACAGUUUUUCGGUGGAUUCAGGUUUAGGUGUAUCUGAGUUCACAGUUCCUUCUCUGACUGAUGCAUAAAAUGCAUCUGAUUCAAAAAUUUUAAUAAAGGACAGCUCUUCCAUGAUGCAUUUGUUUAAGAAUUCCCUAAACUUAAUUUUAAUACAUAAUAUGAGAUCUUUUAGGGGUUUUGUAGUUUUCCUGGAGAGCCAACUAUAGCACUCAGCGUGUCUCUUAGCAACCUGCCAAAACAAAGCUCUGCUCCAAUUACUUGUAAUCUGCCAACAGUUUGAGCCAAAUUCCUCCAGUAAGAGUAAGCACAACCAUACCAUGCUGCAUGUAGUUUCCCACUGUCCAAUGACAAGGUUUGUCCCAACUUCCUACUACAUUUUGCUCCUGGGAGUAGACUUACGGAAUAACCCCCAGUUUCAUAUCACUGCAAGAUUAAUUUAUUUCAUCCUUUGGGUUCCUGCCUCAGGGGCAACAGAAAACCAAGUACCACACAGGACUCAAACCUGGGGCACAGCCAACAGCAG
rnacentral:lncRNA from 1 species